ACAAUCACAAAGGGGAGUCCAUUUUGGGCUGAGACUGAAUAUAUUCUAAACCCUUCGUACCUGUUUCGGUUAUGCGAGCGUAGGAAUUGUGAAUGAAUAGCUA
rnacentral:ncRNA from 2 species